rnacentral:rRNA from 1 species
AUGAACGCUAGCGACAGGCUUAACACAUGCAAGUCGAGGGGCAGCACAGGUAGCAAUACCGGGUGGCGACCGGCGCACGGGUGAGUAACGCGUAUGCAACUUGCCUAUCAGAGGGGGAUAACCCGGCGAAAGUCGGACUAAUACCGCAUGAAGCAGGGGCCCCGCAUGGGGAUAUUUGCUAAAGAUUCAUCGCUGAUAGAUAGGCAUGCGUUCCAUUAGGCAGUUGGCGGGGUAACGGCCCACCAAACCGACGAUGGAUAGGGGUUCUGAGAGGAAGGUCCCCCACAUUGGUACUGAGACACGGACCAAACUCCUACGGGAGGCAGCAGUGAGGAAUAUUGGUCAAUGGCCGAGAGGCUGAACCAGCCAAGUCGCGUGAGGGAUGAAGGUUCUAUGGAUCGUAAACCUCUUUUAUAAGGGAAUAAAGUGCGGGACGUGUCCCGUUUUGUAUGUACCUUAUGAAUAAGGAUCGGCUAACUCCGUGCCAGCAGCCGCGGUAAUACGGAGGAUCCGAGCGUUAUCCGGAUUUAUUGGGUUUAAAGGGUGCGUAGGCGGCCUUUUAAGUCAGCGGUGAAAGUCUGUGGCUCAACCAUAGAAUUGCCGUUGAAACUGGGGGGCUUGAGUAUGUUUGAGGCAGGCGGAAUGCGUGGUGUAGCGGUGAAAUGCAUAGAUAUCACGCAGAACCCCGAUUGCGAAGGCAGCCUGCCAAGCCAUUACUGACGCUGAUGCACGAAAGCGUGGGGAUCAAACAGGAUUAGAUACCCUGGUAGUCCACGCAGUAAACGAUGAUCACUAGCUGUUUGCGAUACACUGUAAGCGGCACAGCGAAAGCGUUAAGUGAUCCACCUGGGGAGUACGCCGGCAACGGUGAAACUCAAAGGAAUUGACGGGGGCCCGCACAAGCGGAGGAACAUGUGGUUUAAUUCGAUGAUACGCGAGGAACCUUACCCGGGUUUGAACGCAUUCGGACCGAGGUGGAAACACCUUUUCUAGCAAUAGCCGUUUGCGAGGUGCUGCAUGGUUGUCGUCAGCUCGUGCCGUGAGGUGUCGGCUUAAGUGCCAUAACGAGCGCAACCCUUGCCACUAGUUACUAACAGGUAAAGCUGAGGACUCUGGUGGGACUGCCAGCGUAAGCUGCGAGGAAGGCGGGGAUGACGUCAAAUCAGCACGGCCCUUACAUCCGGGGCGACACACGUGUUACAAUGGCGUGGACAAAGGGAAGCCACCUGGCGACAGGGAGCGAAUCCCCAAACCACGUCUCAGUUCGGAUCGGAGUCUGCAACCCGACUCCGUGAAGCUGGAUUCGCUAGUAAUCGCGCAUCAGCCAUGGCGCGGUGAAUACGUUCCCGGGCCUUGUACACACCGCCCGUCACACCAUGGGAGUGGGUUGCAAAAGAAGUAGGUAGCUUAACCUUCGGGAGGGCGCUUACCACUUUGUGAUUCAUGACUGGGGUG